rnacentral:lncRNA from 1 species
GAUCACUGUCCAUGUUUUUUAUACAUGGCUCGUUUCUGUUUCUUGCAAUAAUAUUGUCUAAAAGUUAACAGCUCAAGAGCAAGAUUAGGAAUCCCCUCAUCACCAGAACAUGGCAGGUGAAUCUCUUUCUCUCUCUGUGUCAACUAGCUAGUAUAAAUUUAGUAGUAAUGUUUGAAUACAAUUCUUUAAAGAUUUUGAUGUCAAUGUUUGAGCUGUUUUUAAUCUUUAUCCUGUCUUUUCUUGCAUAAGAACACAAAUACAUGUAUUGUUCCGUUCCUCCCCAGGAAUCUUCUCAUUACCUAUUGAUAUGAUGAAAAUCACCGACAAGCUAUGCUCACUUCCUUAUGGUUGGCUGCAAUAGAGACAUGAUAUAAGUUAGGAGAAAAGGUUAAGAAAAUAUAUUAAGGACCAAUAUUUAAGUGUGUGUGUGUGUGUAUUAUAUACACAGGGGGCUCCAUUGUAUAAUAUAGUCGAAUAUUUUGUCAGAAUUUUUUACUUCAAUAAUUAUCCCCUCUGAUUUUUCGUGGCAACCAAACGAUGGCUUAAUUCUGAAAUAUGCCAUACAUGCACGAAUACGAGAAUCAAGACUUCAGUUCCUCUGCUGUCUCUCUGAUACCUGGCAAAUUAUUCAAUCGCAAGUUAUAACCCCGUCGCAUUGUUAAACAUCGAGUUGUGUAAUUAAAAGCAACUGCCAAAUCCAUUUUAAUUAUUAGUAAAAAUUAUUCUUCUUGUUUGCUAGAGAAUAAUAUAAAUUAUAUCCUGAGAUCUCAUUUAAAAGUUUAAACUUUUAGAUUGAAAUAAUUUUUUGAUAUGGUAUCAGAGCCUUGAUGACCAAGCGAUCACGAUUUCGAAUCUCACCAUCCUCAAUUAUUUGAUAAAUAUUAAGCAUAAGGUAAAAAUAGACAUGUGCAAGUUUCAAGCCCAAAAAACUUUCACUUAAGGGAAUAUAUUAAAGAAUAAUAUAAAUCAUAUCCUGAAACCUCACAUAAAAAUUUAAGUUUUUAGGUUGAGAUUGUUCUUUAUAUUGUUAGAAUCUUGGAUCCUCACUCUUCUAAUUAAUUUGGGAUCAUGGCUCCUGAGCAAUCUUAACCACCGCUACCACAAAACUUGAAUUUAUGGUAUAAAGUUUCAUUGUCAGUCUUGCACUCUUGCUGUCUGCUGGUUCGAAUUCAUGUGCUUGGAAUUUGUAACUCGCCCCAUGUCAAUAAAUUGUUUUUCGGAUGAUAGCUUUUUAUUUUUAUUUUUUUAUUAAAAUGAGUGUUUGGAUGAGCUUGCAUGCAUCUCGACUAAUCAUACGGGCCCUAAAAUUAACGACCCUGUAAGCCUCUAGUUGCUAUUAUAUUAAUAAUUACAGGGCUCGAACUUGAAAUUACAGGAAGAAUAAAUUUUUGGUUACAAACUUUUACCACUGACCAUCUACUAGAUGGUGAAUGAUAGCGAAUUGACCUACCUACCAGCUGCUCUUGUCUAUGUGUGGUACUGCUAUGAGAUUUUUAUUCAUUUUUGUGUUUUCUUUUUGCUAUUUGAUAUAAAUUCUCCAUGUUAUCCGCAUGGCUUGCUUCUCUUACAAUUUGUUAAAUUUAUACUAUAAAGACAAAUCACAGCAAGGAACAAUCUAUUGAAAUGGCAUGCAAGAAGCCGAGUUUUUCUAUUAAAUUAUAGGACUUAACCUUGUUAGGUGGUCAUUGGAUCUACUGAUUGAUUGAUUCCAUGACCAUAAACCUAGGAUUUAUUAUUUUUUCCUUCAAAAAUACCUCAGUUCAAUUUAAGGUUGCCCCAUCACAAAGUAAAUUGUAGCGUGUGGCUAAUGUUAAUGUAAUGCGUUCUUGCUUGGUAACCAAGUCUGUCCCCAUCUUAAGCACGUAACAAAGUCUUCUGCUGUUUGACAGUUGUUGUCAGGCUUAAUUUCUUCCAAGAAUCUGCCCCCCUAAUUGCCUGAUUGUUACUUAAACUUUGUGCUUGAAUUGUGGAUGAGUCCCAAAAUAAACAAGAAAAAUAAAAAUUAUAUACAAUUCCCUACCGACUCCUUGCUUUUCCCUCCCUGCUUUUAACCCUAUUCAAUGGCUACUUGAACAGUGAAAGUUAAAAGAGGAAGGGAUGGAAAAGCCGGUGAUGUUGGGGCAUAUAAAAGCUAAAAGAUGAACAGAUAAUGUAGGUCACCUCGCGGUAAUGCAAAUCAAAUCACCCCUUUUAUGGCCCGUGAGCAAUCCUGUGCUUCACGUUUUAUUCUCUUCCCUUGCAGCUUCAUUUACAAGCCGUCAAGAUGCCUAGCAGGGUCCCCUGUGCCUCGUUCAUUUAAACAAGCCAUGGAGUACUUUCUUGACCAUCGAUGCAUCGCUAGCAAGUGUCCCAUCAGAACAUGCAAAUACCAAAAUAGAUCGUCACAAUUCAGCUUUGUACUGAUCAUGGCUAAAAAGCUAACAUCAUGAUUUCUGCCCGCAUUCUAUAUGAUUAAUAAGACCAUCAUUCCUGCAUUUACCCUCGCAAAAGUUCCCAAAAUGAAGAGG